GCCUUCGUGGUAUAACGAUAGCACACUCGGCGCGAAUUCGAGAGGUUCAAGGUUCGAAUCCCGGCGAGGGCA
rnacentral:tRNA from 1 species